UGUGUCAUCCGCAAUGGAAAAUGCACGCGGCAUGAACCCAAUCGUGUGUUACAAUUUUUCUCAGUAAAGCUGGCUGAACUUACUGUGGGUGUUGGCUCAGUAGAGUUGUAUGGAUACAUAGUAGUGCGGGAUGGUCUGGAUCCAUUGCUUAAUUACGUUGUCAAUAUAAGCAGGGACGAUCCCAUCAUCGUGGAGCAGGGUUCUCUCGUCAACAUGGUUGGCCCUAAGCGAGGGAUAGAUAUGUAUUCCACUAUUCUACUGGAAUAUGACAUGAGGAUCAAGGCAGGCAAAGUAGAAGAUGAUGAUCACCAGCUGAUUGAUGGUGUAUCAGCACUAAGCGACCUGCAGGGCACAUGGAAUCGUGCAUUCAGAAAACGCAUCCAUGGCGAUUGCGGCACGGUUGACUUAGUUUUAGCACGUAUCCAUGAUGCGGUCCUGGCGAAUGUGGAAGUUGUCAUAUCAGAGGUGCAGAACAGUUUCAAUCUGCGUCUCCGGUGUUUCAUUGGUGGUUAUAAAAAGGAAAUCCGGCUUUUCGAUGGCGCCAUUGGCGAGUCACGUGGCUUAAAGAGGUCUGUGGUUGCUGUGGUGGAUGGUUCCACUAUGGAUUUGAAGUUCGAGGUUGCCUCGGAGCCAUCCUGCUCAGCGGAGCACCGUUGUUCCUUCACGGCGGACACGCAUGGGCUUGCUACUCGAGAGAUAAAGACUGAGUUUGGGUUGAUCUCAGUGAAGGUGGCUUGGUCGAGUCUGCUUUCUAACUAG
rnacentral:rRNA from 1 species